rnacentral:lncRNA from 1 species
ACCCUAAACCCUAAACCCUAAACCCUAAACCCUAAACCCUAAACCCUAAACCGUGAAACCCUAAACCCUAACCUAAACCCUAAAAACCCUAAACCCUAAACCGCGUAAACCCUAAACCCUAAACCCUAAAACCCUAAAACCCUAAGAACCCUAAAACCUAAACCCUAAACCCUAAACCCUAAAACCCUAAACCCUUAAACCCAAACCCUAAACCCUAAACCCUAAAACCCUAACCCUAAACCGCUAAACCCAAAACCCUAAACCCUAAACCCUAAACCCUAAACCCUAAACCCUAAACCUAAACCCUAAAACCCUAAACCUAAAACCCUAAACCUUAAACCCCUAAACCGCUAAACCCGCUGAAACCCUGAAACCGCUCAAACCUAAACCCUAAACCGUAAAACCCUAAACCCUUGAAACCCUAAAACCAAACCUAAACCCUAAACCUAAACCCUGAAACCCUAAGACCUAAACCCAAAACCUAAACCCUAAACCCUAGACCCGUAACACGAAACCCUAAAACCCUAAACCCUAAACCCUAAACCCUAAGACCCUAACCCUAAACCCUAAAACCCUAAACCCUUAAACCCUAAAACCCUAAACCCCCUAAACCUAAACCCUAAACCCUAAACCCCUAACCCUAAACCUAAACCCUACAACCCUAAACGCCGUUAAACCUAAACCAACCUAAAGCCCUAAAACCCGUAAACCCUAAAACCUAAAACCCUAACCCUAAAGCCCUAAACCAAACCCUACAAACCUAAACACCUAAACCCUAAACCUUAAACCCUAAACCUAAACCUAAACCCUAAACCCUAAUACCCUAAAACCUCCUACCCUAAACCCUAACACCCUAACCAAACCCUAAACCCUAAACCCUAAACCUAAACCCUAAACCACUAGAACCCUAAACCUUAAAAACCCUAAACCCUACACCCUAACCCUAAACCCUAAACCUAAACCCUAAACCUAACUAACCCUAAACCCUAAACCUAAACCGCUAACCUAAACCCUAAACCCUAAACCUAAACCUACCAUAGCCCUAAACCUAACUAAAACCCUAACGCAAACCCUAAACCCUAAACCCUAAAAACCCUAAAACCUAAACCCUAAACCUAAACCCUAAACCCAAACCACCUAAAGCCUAACACCAAACCCUAACUAACCCUAAACUCAACGCCUAAAACCCUAAACCCUAACAAACCCUAACCCACCUAAACCCUGUAUAACCAAACCCUAAACCCUAAAACCCUAAAACCACCCUAAACUCCUAAAACCCUAAACCCUAAACUAACCUAGAACAAAACCCUACCAAACCUAACCAUAAACCCUAAACCCUACCUAAAACCCUAAAACCUAAACCCUAAACCCUAAAACCCUAAACUCCUAAACCCUAAACCCUAAACCCUCCUAAACCCUAAAACCCUAAACCCCUAACCCUAAACCCUAAACCCUAAACCCUAAACCAACUAAACCCUAAACCCUAUAACCAAACCCUAAACCCUAAACCGCCUAAAACCCUAAACCCUAAACCCUAAACCCUAAACCCUAAAGCCCUAAACCCUAAUACCCUAAACCCUAAGACCCUAAACCACCUAAACCACUAAACCCUAAACACCUAAACCCUAAACCCGUAAACCCUAAACCUACUAAACCCGUAAACCCUAAACCCUAAACCCUAAACCCUAAAACCUAAACCCUCUAAAAGCCCACUAUUAAGACCCUAAACCCUACCCUAACCCUGAAACCUAAACCCUAAACCCUAAAACCUAAACAACGCUAAACCUAAACCCCUAAAACCGCAAACCCUAAACUCUUAAACCCUAACCAUAAACCGCUAAACCUAAACCCUAAACUCCUAAACCCUAAACCCUCAAACUCCUAAAACCCUAACCUAAACCUGACACCUAAACCCUUAAAACCUCUAUAACCCUAAAACCCCUAAACCCUAAACCCUCAAACCCAAACCCUAAACCUGCAAAACCCUAAACCCUUAACCCUAACCCUAAACCCUAAACCUAACAACCUAAACCCUAAAACCUAAACCCUAAACCCUAACCCUAAACCCCUAAACCCCUAAACCCUAAACCCUAAACCCUAAACCCUAAACCCUAAACCCUAACCCUAAAACCUAAACCUACAACCCUAAAGACCCUAAACCCUAAACAAACCCUACUAAACCCUAAACCCUAAACCAAACCCUAAAACCCUAAACCUAAAACGCCUAAACCUAAACCCAAAACCCUAAACCGCUAAACCCUUAACCCUAAACCCUAAACCCUAACCAAGACCCUAAACCGCUAAACCCUAAACCCUAAACCGCUAAAUUCCCUAAAUCCCUGAAACCCUAAACCCUAUAACCUAAACCUAACACCUAAACCUAAACUCCUAAACCUAAACCUAACCCUAAACCCUAAACCUAAACCUAAACCUAAACCCUAAACGCCUAAACCCUAACCCUAAACCCUAAACCUAAACCCCUAAAACCCUAAACCCUAAA